AAAAUUCCUAUAAGAAUUUGGGACAAAAUUCCUAUAGGAAUUUUUCCUAUAGGAAUUUUUCCUAUAGGAAUUCCUAUAGGAAAAAUUCCUAUAGGAAUUUUGUCCCAAAUUCUUAUAGGAAUUUUUCCU